rnacentral:rRNA from 1 species
CCUAGCCCUUCAGAGGGGGACAACAGUUGGAAACGACUGCUAAUACCGCAUACGAUCUGACCUCGGCAUCGAGGAUAGAUGAAAGGUGGCCUCUAUUUAUAAGCUAUCACUGAAGGAGGGGAUUGCGUCUGAUUAGCUAGUUGGAGGGGUAACGGCCCACCAAGGCGAUGAUCAGUAGCCGGUCUGAGAGGAUGAACGGCCACGUUGGGACUGAGACACGGCCCAG